AUUUAAGGUACUUCUCAAAAUGUCAAAGUUUGAAUUCAAGUUUUUGAGUACCUUAGACUCGAAACAUAGUUUAAAGUAACAGGAUUUGGUAUGUCUCCACAAGAAUUAUACUCCUGGCAUUGCGGGAAAAGCUAUGAAACCGCAUUUAGAAAAUGGUACAGGGAAAUGAAGUUACAUUUCAUCUCCAUAUAUACGAUAUUUUGAUAUGAUUUUACAGUUAAAUUACUAUAGAACAGUUGUUCUCACACCUUUUCUCUCAGGCCCACCUUUAGAAGCCGAAUAAAGCUCAUGCCUCCCACCCCCACGAUUUUUAUCAACUAUUAACAAUCAUGGGGGAAGCAACAACUAAAAAAAACACUUUAGUGCUGUAAGAGUUUGCUGAUGCUUUUAUGCUGACCAUUGUUUGUUUAUAUUCCCUACAUAAAUCCUGUUCAUUCAACUUAGUUUCACCACAUAUUUUUUCCCCCUGUUCAUACGUGCACCCCUGGGAGACGCUUCUAUAUGAGGAGGAGAAGGCUGUGGGCUUUGGUUAAAAUGUCCUCUGAAGUGUUUGAUUAUUUUUAUCACUGUAAUUUGGUAUAAAGUGUAUUAAUUGCGGAUUUUAACUGGAAUAUUGUUCAUAAAACCAUAUAGAAUUACCUUGUCAAUUGUGUCUGAGUUCUUUAAGAUCCCCCAUUAGAGUUGUGUGCAGACGUCUCUAUGUUGCAUUAAUAUAUGUACAUAUAGAUAACUCGAAUCAUUACAAUGCUGCUGUGGCUCAUUUGAACAGCGUACUGCUUCUUAAAGAGGAGGAUUGUGUUUGCUCACAUGACACAGGGGACAGGAAGGUACAGGUGCUAAGUAGAUCAUCUGGAUCAUUAAUGUUUCCACCGAGGUCGGUAAUAUCACGCACUGAAGAUGACUGCAGCGCUACAAUCGGGGAAAUAAAGAAGAAACACCCUUAAAUUGCCUCAAAGGCUCGCAACCAUGGAAACGAGAGAUCCCAGACCCAACCUUCAAGGUCUGGUGUCCGAGGAUGACGGUGGUCUGGAGAUGAAGACAGACUCGAACCCUGUGGCAGACCACACAGACAGCCCAUCGGAACCCUGUAGUGAGAAGCCCGAAGAUGAACCCCAAUUCACCCCCCCUGCCCCUGCACUCAUGAGAAGGUACUACGGUGUGAUGGAUGAUGAGGGUGCAGAUGCAGUCUUCGUCACGCCGCCUUCUCCAUCCUACGUGGCUGCUCUGCUGCCAGCAGAGGGCAGCACAGAUGCGAUGGUGACUAAUCCAAGUAUGACCCUUGCAAACGAGGCAUCUGACGCCACAGAGGCUAAAGGUAAUCCAAGUGGCUUAGACUGGCAUGGGGAAGAGCAGUUAAUGGCAGCAUACAACAAGGUGGAUGAAGUGAAAGCAAGUACAGUGCAGACUUCUGACGAGUCUAUGGACACCUUACCUCUGUCCAAAGACAGGGACUCCACUCUACCAAAGGAUCAAGACCAAACAGCCAUGGAAGGCGCAGGUAGUCUGGUGGAAUCGUGGGGGCACCAUCCAGGAGAACAAGAAUCAAGUGCGGAACCAGAGGUCAGUUUGAGGGGAGGACAGGAAAACUUGAAGGAAAGUGAAGCAGAGAAAGACAAAUAUCCGAAACAGGUACCUUCAAGCGUUGACGGAAACUCAUUUAAUGAGACGCAUUUUGACAAUGAAGAAGGCAAAACAACAUCCGGACACAUUUUUGGUCUUGCUGAGGUAGAUUCAAAACUAACGAAAGAAAACAUCGUCUGCGACAGUGUAGAGAAAAAUGACCCAACGAUGACUAAUCUCAGUGUGAGGUGUGAAGAUUUAGAGUCCUGCGGACCACCGGAGGUCUCCGAAUGCAACCCAACCAAGAUGGAGGCAGCAACCAGUCAACCACAGGUACCAGAGAUCUCAACAGAGACUGAAGAGUCUGUUGACACCAGAUCUUUGGAUUAUAACCUCACGAAGUACAACUGGGGGAGGAGGGAGAGUGGAGAAACACAAGUGCCCCGGCUCCCAAUCAUGGAAGGCACUGAAGAGACGGUCACAAAAGGAAGUAGAAGCAGGAGUAUAAGUAUUGAAAUCCUACAAGGAGAGCAACUCCUUCAGCGUCUGCAGCAAGUGCAGCUACGACAGGACGUAUGUACACCAGAGAGCCCUGAUAACACCCAGCAGGUUGUCCAAGAGAGAGAUGUAUUUGGGGCUGAUGAAAGUGAUCUUAAAGGAACAGAAGGGGAUCUGACAGUUGGAGAUAAGAAGGGAGAGAGUAGAUCUCACACUAUUGACGAGGAGGGAGGAAAGAUGAACCUAACGGAAGAAUGGGAGAGGGAAAACAAUGAAAAGAAUGAGAACAAAGACGAAAAGAAAGCCAGGGUGUCUUCGUCAGCAGUGCCUGUUGAGCCUGGGCAUGAAAUGACUGCCAGAGCAGAGGCAGGUGACUCCGAUGACCCCCAUGAAACAUAUUCCGCAGAAAAGUCUUUUCCAUCCACCUGUCACCAGUUCUCAACCGCCGUGACUUCCAUUGAGGAGCAGAUCCAUGAGGCAGCUCAGGAGACGCAGAACCUGCAGAGAGCCGGCGGUCUCUUCAGCCUUGCAGACAAUCCAGAUGUGCUUGAGAUUCCCUUUAAGACCAACAUCUCUCUUGAGCCACUUGCCACCUCAGUCAGCCCAGGUCAGCGCAGUGACUGGCAGUUCUCCGAGCAGAAGAUGCAGAAGGAGAUAAGUCAGGAGAUCCAGAGAGAACUGGUGCUUGUCAACCAAGGGAAGAUCCCAGGAGGGUACAGCAAAGGGGAAGUCCGUCAAUUAAAGCAGACAAAGCUACUGUUUGAGGCUUUCCAGCAGGAGAACCCAGAGGGUCCAACAAGGUACCGGAGAUCCCCUACCUUACUGAAGAAAGGUCACGUUUACCCAUCUGUGUUAGAGCGCACGCGUAGCCUUGAGAUGUUCUCACUCAAAAGUUACCCCGUCUCCAGAACACAUUCCCUCAGGCUGUACAAAUCAACCUCUGACGCAGUUAAAAUCCAUGAAGACUUAAGAUCAAAGAGCCCAACCGGUGGUUCUCGAGACAAAACACGCUUAUUCCCCUACCCCAAACAAGACAUGCAUGUGCGCCUGCACAGAAGCAUGGACUCCAUAAGCAGUGAUACGUCUGCUAUGGAGACUAGGCAAGUGAACGCAACACAAGAAUCUCCCAUCAUCAAACAAAACCCCUUCUACAAGUUGCGACCAGCCCUGGCUCGGCAGCCCGAGGUGGAGAAGGACAUCCGGGAGGCCAAAGAAAGAGAAGAGGAGCUGCGCAGACAGAGAUGCACUCUGUAUGGAGAGAACAGGCAGAGUAGUGAAGACGGAGAAAAGUCACGAUUCACAUCAGCGCACGAACCAGAUGACAGACGACUGUCCAGGGGGAAACUGGAACGGGUUUGGCCGCCGCCGUCCAAAAAAGACCAGGCGAAGUCUGAACAGGCACAGGUGAUGCGUCAGGUCUAAUGACUACACUCUCUGUCUUCUAUGUGUGCACGCUACAGGAUUAUCAGUGGUGUGAAUUGUUUUGAAAGCACAGAUAUUGAAGGCCUAUUGAAGGUGAGGUUGGCCAUGUUAGCAAGAAGAGUCAUGUACAAAUCAGGUUCACAUACGUUCCUGUACAUGUGGCUCUCUGUAUCUUCCUGCAGGAUUAGAUUUGAAUUAUCAGCAAAAGUAUUUGUUUUACCAAAGCUCGGAUUAGUGCAAGUGGCUCUGAAAUUGAUCUCAAACUCCAGAAUAGGCAGCUAAUCUCCCGCUCUAAAUCCCUCUAUUUGCUCUGUCUUAUCUCACAGCAGGAGUCUAAAGUUCACAGAGCGGGAAGACAGAAGGCUCCUCUGUGGCAGCGCUGGGAGGCCGGCCUGGUCAACGGGCAGCCUUCAAAGGAAAAGAACUGAUAUUUGCCAUCCUGACGUCUUCGACACUUCAAAUAGAAUAAUCUGCCAUGCUAAAGCAACCCGAGCGCAAGAUUAAUCAGUAUGAUCAAAACCCCGAAGGUAGCUCCAUCGCACAUGCUUCCCGGCUCCCUUUAACUCUGCUUCGUAUCCCUGUCAAAUAUGAUUUUUUUGAUAUCUUUAAACGCUAGCUUCAUCAGCACGUAAAUAAAGCAAAAGUGCGGCUUCGAUCAGUCUCUCCGACCCUUUUUUCUCUUUCAGUCUCUAUCGGCCAGGUAAUGUAAACCAAACUGGUGGCGUUACUUCAAGUCCAACAGUUUAAGAGGUUUAAUGGAAUGUCAACUUUCAAUAUACUGUUCAACAAUUUGGC
ensembl:lncRNA